GACGUAGGGCGCGAGCGUUGUCCGGAUUUAUUGGGCGUAAAGAGCUCGUAGGCGGCUUGUUGCGUCGACCGUGAAAACCCGGGGCUCAACUUCGGGCUUGCGGUCGAUACGGGCGGGCUAGAGUUCGGUAGGGGAGACUGGAAUUCCUGGUGUAGCGGUGAAAUGCGCAGAUAUCAGGAGGAACACCAGUGGCGAAGGCGGCUCACUGGCCCGAUACUGACGCUGAGGCACGAAAGCGUGGGGAGCAAACAGG
rnacentral:rRNA from 1 species